rnacentral:rRNA from 1 species
CUACGGGAGGCAGCAGUAAGGAAUAUUGGGCAAUGGACGCAAGUCUGACCCAGCCAUGCCGCGUGAAGGAUGAAUGUCCUAUGGAUUGUAAACUUCUUUUAUGCAGGAAAAACAUCCCGGUCGUGAACCGGGACUGAUGGUACUGUAUGAAUAAGCAUCGGCUAACUCCGUGCCAGCAGCCGCGGUAAUACGGAGGAUGCAAGCGUUAUCCGGAUUCAUUGGGUUUAAAGGGUGCGCAGGCGGAAUGAUAAGUCAGUGGUGAAAUCUCCCGGCUCAACCGGGAAACUGCCAUUGAUACUGUUAUUCUUGAGUACAGUUGAAGUGGGCGGAAUGUGUCAUGUAGCGGUGAAAUGCUUAGAUAUGACACAGAACACCGAUAGCGAAGGCAGCUCACUAAGCUGUAACUGACGCUCAUGCACGAAAGCGUGGGGAUCAAACAGGAUUAGAUACCCCGGUAGU